GACCUAACAUUGUGAGUUGAAAGAAAAUGUUUUUUUGUUGAAUUUAUGAAUAUUAAGUAAAAAGAAUUCCUUAAAAACUUUUAACAGACCAUGUGCAUGGCUUGUUAUGAUAAUAACUACAAUUAUAGACCAUGACGUAGAGUACAAAUAUAUUUACAAGUAAUUGCACUGAGUGAUGUUAAAUAUGUUUAGUUAGCAAUUAUCGGCUGUAAGUACAUACAACGAUUUUCAGAGUUUGAUUAUGAAUAAAAGGUCAUGCACAGGUAUUACUUGAAUCUUGAAAAAACAUUUCUAAACUUUUAUUAAGUGGUCUGAUAUGAGCGAAUGUAAACCUUUAUGCUAACCAUGCAAGAAAGUAAAUUUAAACCAACAGGGAAACCAAUAUGAACACAUUAUGUAUACUACAUCAUCAAUAACCCGAAUAAAUCACUCAAUUACACGCAGGGUAAACCACAUAAGAAUUUUAUAAACAAACUUUAAUUUUGAAAGAAUAAACGUAUUAAUGAAAUUACAUUUGAUACUUCAUUUUUCAUAUCAAGUAUGAAACAAUGAAGUGUAUGGCUAGUGACUUCGGAGAUACUUGGGGAGUACAGUAAUGGCUGUUGUCUGAAAUUCUCAUCCAUCUAAGGAUUAGCAGCUUAAGCUCAAUUACAAGUCAUUGAGGUAUCUAUGCAUCACACCAUUUUCCUUAGGUCAUACGAUUAAUUUAUAAUUAUUAAUUACUCAAUUAAUUAAUUAGUCAAUUAUUUAUUAAUGUAUUACAAUCAAUAAUUCUAUAAUAUAAGUCAUAAAAAAUCAAACAAUAA